GUCCUUGUCGAUUAGUGGUUAGAUCAUCACAUUGUGGAUUGCAUGCCAGGAUCCAAGCAUGCGAUUACAAACCUGUGAAGACGGAGGCUCGAAUCCUCCCUGGGACA
rnacentral:tRNA from 1 species